rnacentral:rRNA from 1 species
AGAGAGAGACAUGCGCGCAUAUCAAUAAGCGGAGGAAAAGAAACUAACUAGGAUUCCCUCAGUAACGGCGAGUGAGGCGGGAAGAGCUCAAACUUGAAAUCUUCAAGGCUCUACCUUGACGAAUUGUAGUUUAAAGAAGUGUUUUCUGUUGGAGGUUUUGGUAAAAGUUCUUUGGAAUAGGACAUCAUAGAGGGUGAGAAUCCCGUAUUUGACCAUUAUUUCCAGCUUUGUGAUACACUUUCAAAGAGUCGGAUUGUUUGGGAAUGCAGUCCAAAAUGGGUGGUAAAUUUCAUCUAAAGCUAAAUAUUGGCGAGAGACCGAUAGCGAACAAGUACCGUGAGGGAAAGAUGAAAAGAACUUUGAAAAGAGAGUUAAACAGUACGUGAAAUUGUCAAAAGGGAAGCGUUUGACACCAGUGUUGUUUUCUCGAAAAUCAAUUAAAAAAGGCAGGAUUUUGUGUUGUAUUGACUUUAUCAGCUUUCUGCACUCUUUUCUUGUCUUUUUUAAUGCACUUUUCGUUUAACAAGUCAACAUCAAUUUCUUUUGUUGUAAAAGGGUCAUUGGAAGGUGGCUUUCUUUUCGGAGAAAGUGUUUAUAGCCUUUGGCCUCUGCAAUCGGAGAGACUGAGGUCUGCAGCGUAGAUCCUUCGGGGUUAGAUACAUUUGUGCUAAGUUAUAGCCUUUCAUAGACAACUUGUUGACUAUGAUCAGUCAUGUAGCUUACUCGCUUAUGCUAUUUUACCUACGCUUAGGAUGUUGAUGUGAUACUGCGAGCA